rnacentral:rRNA from 1 species
CUACGGGCGGCAGCAGUGGGGAAUAUUGGACAAUGGGGGAAACCCUGAUCCAGCAAUGCCGCGUGUGUGAAGAAGGCCUGCGGGUUGUAAAGCACUUUCGGUUGGGAGGACUGCUUCUAGCACUAAUAUUGUUGGAAGUUGACGUUACCUUCAGAAGAAGCACCGGCUAACUCCGUGCCAGCAGCCGCGGUAAUACGGAGGGUGCAAGCGUUAAUCGGAAUUACUGGGCGUAAAGCGCGCGUAGGCGGCUAGAUCAGUCGGGUGUGAAAGCCCGGGCUUAACCUGGGAACUGCAUCCGAUACUGUCUAGCUUGAGUACAGGAGAGGAGAGUGGAAUUCCACAUGUAGUGGUGAAAUGCGUAGAUAUGUGGAGGAACACCAAUGGCGAAGGCAGCUCUCUGGCCUGAUACUGACGCUGAGGUGCGAAAGCGUGGGAAGCAAACAGGAUUAGAUACCCCUGUAGUC